GUGGCUCCAUGGUAGAGCACUUGCCUUGCAUGCAAGAGGCCCUGGGUUCGAUUCCUCAGC
rnacentral:tRNA from 1 species